AUUGAACGCUGGCGGCAUGCCUUACACAUGCAAGUCGAACGGCAGCACGGGAGCAAUCCUGGUGGCGAGUGGCGAACGGGUGAGUAAUAUAUCGGAACGUGCCCAGUCGUGGGGGAUAACGUAGCGAAAGCUACGCUAAUACCGCAUACGAUCUAAGGAUGAAAGCGGGGGAUCGCAAGACCUCGCGCGAUUGGAGCGGCCGAUAUCAGAUUAGGUAGUUGGUGAGGUAAAGGCUCACCAAGCCGACGAUCUGUAGCUGGUCUGAGAGGACGACCAGCCACACUGGGACUGAGACACGGCCCAGACUCCUACGGGAGGCAGCAGUGGGGAAUUUUGGACAAUGGGCGCAAGCCUGAUCCAGCAAUGCCGCGUGCAGGAUGAAGGCCUCGG
rnacentral:rRNA from 1 species